CAAUCUCUAAGUACCGAGAUAAGGCUGAAGGGCAGAGGCCGAAGAACUUCGUAAGACCGGUGUCAAUGUGCUUCUCAUCAAGAUAGCCGAAAAUGAAGGACUUCGGGUCAUGCAAGAGUGCAUAACCAAGGAACGAAGCAGGCAGUACGCGGUGCUGUACCUUUGCUACUCAGCGGAGUAGGCGGCAGGGUUGAUGGAGAAGACGGUACAAUCCUAGAG
rnacentral:lncRNA from 1 species